GGGGAUAUAGCUCAGCUGGGAGAGCGCUUGAAUGGCAUUCAAGAGGUCAGGGGUUCGAGCCCCCUUAUCUCCACCA
rnacentral:tRNA from 2 species